CAAACGUCACCAUUACAUGCCUAUUGUUCUUAGGAAGGUUUUGAUAUUAGUACUCAGCACAAGAUCCUAUGGAGGACUCCAUAUACAUUAAAUGCCUUCAAAGAGGGUGAGAAUGAGGGACUUCUGGACCUGAAUUUUAUUUCCAUCAGGUCAAAUGUCAAUAUACAUAAAAAACUCAAAAGUGAACUGACUAGUUCGAUCUUUACAUUAGUGAACUAAGUCAGGGCAAAAGGUACUGAGAUUUCUUUAUUGGAU
rnacentral:lncRNA from 1 species